rnacentral:rRNA from 1 species
AGCAGCCGCGGUAAUUCCAGCUCCAAUAGCGUAUAUUAAAGUUGUUGCAGUUAAAAAGCUCGUAGUUGAAUUUCGAAAUUUUUUUAUCGGUUGAAUCAACAGGUUCGUACUGAUUUUAAGAAUUUCUACCUUCUGGAGAACCUUAAUGUCAUUUAUUUGAUGUUUUGGGAAACCAGAACUGUUACCUUGAAAAAAUUAGAGUGUUUAAAGCAGGCUUAUGUCUGAAUAUAUUAGCAUGGAAUAAUGAAAUAGGACGGCAUGGUUCUAUUUUGUUGGUUUCUAGGAUCACCGUAAUGAUUAAUAGGGAUAGUUGGGGGCAUUAGUAUUCAAUUGUCAGAGGUGAAAUUCUUGGAUUUAUUGAAGACUAACUUCUGCGAAAGCAUUUGCCAAGGAUGUUUUCAUUAAUCAAGAACGAAGUUAGGGGAUCGAAGACGAUCAGAUACCGUCGUAGUCUUAAACCAUAAACAUGCCGACUAGGAAUCGGACGAAGUUUAAUUUUUAAUGACUCGUUCGGCGCCUU